ACGUACACUCCUACGGGAGGCAGCAGUGGGGAAUAUUGGACAAUGGGCGCAAGCCUGAUCCAGCCAUGCCGCGUGAGUGAUGAAGGCCCUAGGGUUGUAAAGCUCUUUCACCGGUGAAGAUAAUGACGGUAACCGGAGAAGAAGCCUCGGCUAACUUCGUGCCAGCAGCCGCGGUAAUACGAAGGGGGCUAGCGUUGUUCGGAUUUACUGGGCGUAAAGCGCACGUAGGCGGACUAUUAAGUCAGGGGUGAAAUCCCGGGGCUCAACCCCGGAACUGCCUUUGAUACUGGUAGUCUUGAGUUCGAGAGAGGUGAGUGGAAUUCCGAGUGUAGAGGUGAAAUUCGUAGAUAUUCGGAGGAACACCAGUGGCGAAGGCGGCUCACUGGCUCGAUACUGACGCUGAGGUGCGAAAGCGUGGGGAGCAAACAGGAUUAGAAACCCGAGUAGUCCCAUGAU
rnacentral:rRNA from 1 species